GGGCGGAUGGCGCAAUGGUAGCGCGAAUCUCUUAUACAGAUUUGGUUCCUGGUUCGAGUCCAGGUCCGCCCACCA
rnacentral:tRNA from 3 species